GGAGGCAAGUGGGAGGGAGAGGGUGAGAUUCACUGAGGCUGGGAAGAGGAGGAGGCUGGUGUCCCCAAGGGCCUGAGGUCCAAGCACAGCUCCAAGGCACAGCCCGGGAGGGUGGAGCACACCCGGCGGCCCACAUCAUGCCCCGAGGCGCUCAUGCCUGGCCAGGAUCCCCAGGCACCAGGCAGGGCUCAGGAACAGCCGCCAGCUUAGGGCAGCAGGACGUGCAGGCAUGGAGUGGCCGCCCAGGAGGCGGUGGUGACAGCUCCCAGCCCUGCAGCUCUUCUGGGCACCAUGGAAGCUUCUGGAUCCUGGAGCAACUCUAGGAGGGAAGAGAGUUGCAUUUUCUGCCAGCCCCACAGGGUGGGGCUCCCAGUUGGGUUUAAGCUGAUUUAAGUAAACAAAGAAAUGAAACUUCCGGAUUUCUGGACAGCACGGCCCUCCAAGUUCAUGGUCUGAGGCCUCUUCUUUGCUCCGAAUAUUCAUUAGAUAAAACAUUUCAACAAAACAAGCCAAGCAUCGCAGACACCAAAAACAGACAGAACAAAACCCGUGGGUGGGGUCUGAGAUGGAGCUUCCGGUCUCGGAACCAAGGUGGGGGAAGUGCUGGCACAGCUCCCGGGGUGGGGAGCAGAGGCCGCUGACUGCACAGAGAGACCCCCACCCCAGAGAGGGAACAGAAGAAAAUUCCGGCUGAGUGCUUCCCGGACUUCAGCUUCCAGAUUCGAGAACCAGGAUGUGGGAGGAAGCAGCCUCCUGUCCAGGACCCAGAACAGGACCGAUCCGACGGACAAGUGUGUCGCGCUCAUGACCUUAACAUCACAUUUAACGCAACCCUCGGGACCUUGGGUGCGGCCGCCUCUCCAGCAGAUAUUUUUAUUGCUGCUCAGCGGGACUUUAAACUUUAUUCUCCAUUUCAUGGCUGUAUUUGAGGUGCGUACGAUUUCUGGAAGCCCAGGGCUUGCCGGUGGAGCACUCGAUCUCUAUUCCGGGCCCGACCAGUGUUCAGCCUGUGACCUUGACGAGAUUGACACUCUCCAAGCUCUAUUUUCUUGGAAUAGGGAGGCUGGUUCCUGCCCUUGGGUCUGUCCUGCCUUGGAGAGAGGCCUUGCUGUUGAAUGACUCGGCGUUUAGGGAAUGCCACGUCUCUCUGGCAUAAAGGUGCGUGGCCUUGCUGUCUGUUCUCGGGAGCCGCUGUCCUUGUGCUGGAGAGCGAGCAGGGUGGGGUGCCACAGCCUCUCGAAAAGAGUCCCCGCAGCCUCAUGAAACCCCGUGCUGUUUUCCUAGGUCUCUGGUCCUCUGUUAAUUACUCUUACUAUGCCGUUCUGGAGCCAAGAGCAACACUUGUGUCCA
rnacentral:lncRNA from 13 species